GUGUGCGGAGUUAUGGCCUGUUGUAGCAGCGGCUUUUCAUACCGUUUGAGGAGUGAUUUGGGUUUUGAUCAGAAGAGUUGAGAUGGAGACUGAGAUGGAGAUACAUUUAUACUGGUUUUCAGGGAGCCUCCACAUUUGUAUAACCAAAAUAAAUACAAGGGUUUUCAUUUUAAGCAUCUAGAUGGAUGUGUGGACUUCUCUGGGACCUUAAUGUGAAUUUUUAGACCUUACAAUGUCUUAUCCAGGUCUAAAAAAUGGACUGUAUUUAGUCCUCUGUUGAAGCCCGCCUGGUGAGAAUAAGAUAUUGAAGCUUCUUGCACCAUGUGACUAAGUAUGUGCUGAAGAAGCCAAAGGAAAAUGCUUGCCAUCACCUAAUAUUGUUCAGUAUUCACAUCAGGAACAUCACCAAAACCCAGGCGUAAUGAGACGUGAAAUUGAGUUUAGAUUACAUUCAUAAUGGCCUUAAAUGUGCCGUAUUUUUAUGUUUUGUUUUCCGAUAUAAUACAGCUGCUUCUGUCAUAGUAGAACAAUGUUUU